rnacentral:tRNA from 1 species
UAUGGCAGAUUAGUGCAAUGGACUUAAACUCCUUACAUAAAGAAUUCAAUCUUUUAUUAAAA